AACGAACGCUGGCGGCAGGCUUAACACAUGCAAGUCGAACGCCCCGCAAGGGGGGUGGCAGACGGGUGAGUAACGCGUGGGAAUCUACCCAUCCCUACGGAAUAACGCAUGGAAACGUGUGCUAAUACCGUAUACGCCCUACGGGGGAAAGAUUUAUCGGGGAUGGAUGAGCCCGCGUUGGAUUAGCUAGUUGGUGGGGUAAAGGCCUACCAAGGCGACGAUCCAUAGCUGGUCUGAGAGGAUGAUCAGCCACAUUGGGACUGAGACACGGCCCAGACUCCUACGGGAGGCAGCAGUGGGGAAUAUUGGACAAUGGGCGCAAGCCUGAUCCAGCCAUGCCGCGUGAGUGAUGAAGGCCUUAGGGUUGUAAAGCUCUUUCACCGGAGAAGAUAAUGACGGUAUCCGGAGAAGAAGCCCCGGCUAACUUCGUG
rnacentral:rRNA from 1 species